rnacentral:rRNA from 1 species
CUACUCCUACGGGAGGCAGCAGUAGGGAAUCUUCCGCAAUGGACGAAAGUCUGACGGAGCAACGCCGCGUGAGUGAUGAAGGCUUUCGGGUCGUAAAACUCUGUUGUUAGGGAAGAACAAGUGCUAGUUGAAUAAGCUGGCACCUGACGGACCCUGCCA